UGAUAGCAUAAACAACAUUUUCAUUUCACAUCAUCAAGGUUUAAAAACGUUCUAUAAUCAAAAACCAUGAUUAGAGAGAUUAUAUGCAUUGUCUUAAUAUUUCCUGCAAGCCAACAGUAUCCAUUGGAAAACAAGGAAAUUGAAUUAUCAGAAUCAAGAUUACAAAACGAAUCUCCACAUAGAUUGAACUUUAUACCAACUUCUACACCACAUCAUUUGACGAAAGCACGUCCCCUGAGAAGAAAAUCCCGAAAUGUAUUUAAAUUACCAGACCAUGUUUGGGAAGGUAGAGAAGAGAUCAAUAGGUCAGAAUACCUUUCCAAAUCUAAAUUAAAUACUAAUAAACAACAUUCUUCUAAAGGCGUAUUUAAAUCCAAGAAUGUAUUUAAGUUACCAAACAAUGUUUGGAAAACAAAAGGACCAACCUUGCAGCCAAAAGAAAGGUUAAUCCAUAAAGAUUUCAAAACAAGAUCUACUACGUCCUCAAAUGUGUGGAAAACAAAAGGACCAACCGUGCAGCUAAAAGAAAGGUUAACCCAUAAUAAUUUCAAAACAAGAUCUACUACGUCUUCAAAUGUGUGGAAAACUCGUUGAAUAAGUGUUUACAAAAAUAAAACUACCGAUAUAGUUACAAGUCAUACAGUUAUGACUAUGCCUUCCGACAAUAAAAAUGACGGAAACCGGACUAACGUAUCUGUACCGAAACUAUCUAAAACAACUGAAUAUGAAACAAAUAAUAUUGGUAUAGUAGCAGGUUCUAUUAUUGCGAUUGUUGUAACAUUAGUUAUAGCAGCAAUUGUAUUAUAUAACGUGAAAGGCCUUAGAAAAAGAAUACAUGUAUUCUCAAUUUACAUAUUAAAUAAACGGCAAAGUCGAACCAUAAAUGGAGAAAUUCCUAAUGCAAAUGAUAUUGAACUACAACUGAUGAACGGACAAACAGAAUCGAUCGGGAUCGAUACGGAGAAUAUUUCCGACUAACAUAUCUGAAAUUUUGUUUUCGGGCAUUGUUAAUGUAGUUCUCAAACUGCGGUCAUUGCUUGUGCGAGUUAAGGUUCUAGAUUCCGAAGGAGAAUCUCGUGAAUAUGAAGAUGAAAAUCGGAUUUUGUACAACCGCCGUACAAUUAUGAACCUGGUUGUUUGGCCUGCAGAUUAUGAAAGGAUAAUAAAUCCGAAGAUUCAAUAUUGCUGUGUUGUAUAAUUUGGAUAUUCCUGCAUCUAACAGUUUAUAGUUUAAUAUUACUGACAAGUGCAGAUUCAGAGCGUACGAAACCAGUCAAACAAGGGAUCAAUUUGAGACAUAUCACAUGACAUUUACAGGACAAACUUAUUAAUAAAGAUUAAACUGCCCGGCGAGAAUGAAAGAGGUCCAGUUAUGCUGAAAAGGCACCAGUAUCAGACAAGAGAAAGAAGAAGGCUACUUAGUUAUACCAUUUAAAAAAGAAAUGAUAGAUUUAAACAUCUAUCAUAUUUAAGAUCGAAAGAGGUUAUGUAAACCAAAAAAACAAAACAUAAGCGGGCUUGUAUUUGAAGUGGACUAUUAUAAAUGUACAGUUUUCUGUGUGGCCGAAUGGUUAUUCUUAAAAGUUUGACUAUCUGUACUUACACUUUUACAGAUUUUUCUGUUUAGUACACAUGGUACAUCGACAAAAGACGAAACAAAACCAACGAAAACACAUCGAUAUGUAUGCAAAGAGUAAAUGCGUUAAAGAUGAAGAUCUGAACUGCAUUAACCAAAGACUUUCAAACUUAUUUGUAAAUAAUUUUACACAUGUCAGAAUGUAAAGAAUUAUAAGAUUAAACAAGAAUGUGUUUUUUU